CCUACGGGAGGCAGCAGUGGGGAAUAUUGCGCAAUGGGCGAAAGCCUGACGCAGCGACGCCGCGUGAGGGAUGAAGGUCUUCGGAUCGUAAACCUCUGUCAGCAGGGAAGCAAGGUCACUGUGCUAAUCAGCAGUGAAUUGACGGUACCUGCAAAGGAAGCACCGGCUAACUCCGUGCCAGCAGCCGCGGUAAUACGGAGGGUGCGAGCGUUAAUCGGAAUUGCUGGGCGUAAAGCGGUCGUAGGCGGGAUGUCAAGUCAAGGGUGAAAUCCCCGCGCACAACGUGGGAACUGCCUUUGAAACUGGCAAACUGGAGUGUGUGAGAGGAUAGUGGAAUUCCAGGUGUAGGAGUGAAAUCCGUAGAUAUCUGGAGGAACAUCAGUGGCGAAGGCGACUAUCUGGCACAUAACUGACGCUGAGGAGCGAAAGCGUGGGUAGCAAACAGGAGUAGAUACCCUAGUAGUC
rnacentral:rRNA from 1 species